UGGGGGACUACUGAGAAGAAAUAAUUGUAUUUUGAAAUGGCUGCAUGCCUUCUGCCUGUACAGAACAACAUACGUACCUAGAAACAACAGCAUGAAAUGUGUUAGAAGAAUGGAAGAACGUAGACAGCUACUGACAACUCUAAAACAUGAGCACUAGCACAAUUCUUUAUCAUGACCCAUGACAAAAAGGUGGUUCUAUGCGACCAAAUGUAAACCUAAUCUUGAAAACUCUUACUGUCUCAGCAGGUACUGCCCUACGUCCUACUGUAGAAGAUGAGGAAAACAGCCAGGCAUGGUGAUGCAUGCCUGUAGUCCCAGCUACUCGGGAGGCUGAGGUACACGAGAAGGAAAACAUGGGAAUGAAGACAAUGAGAAACAACAAAGAUUACAAGAAUAGGAAGAGAAUAACAGAAGAAAAGUAGGAAGAGUUUGAGAAAGAGGAAAGAGGCUGAGUUACAGAUAUAAGGAAAUAAUAAUAUUGCUUUCAAACCUGA